rnacentral:rRNA from 1 species
UACGAAGGGUGCAAGCGUUAAUCGGAAUUACUGGGCGUAAAGCGUGCGUAGGCGGUGAGUUAAGUCUGUCGUGAAAUCCCCGGGCUCAACCUGGGAAUGGCGAUGGAUACUGGCUCGCUAGAGUGUGAUAGAGGAUGGUGGAAUUCCCGGUGUAGCGGUGAAAUGCGUAGAGAUCGGGAGGAACAUCAGUGGCGAAGGCGGCCAUCUGGAUCGGUACUGACGCUGAGGUGCGAAAGCGUGGGAGCAACAGG